rnacentral:misc_RNA from 1 species
GAAUGAACUUGGCGUGGUUGUCGCUGGCCCUCUCGGGGGUAUGUGCACGCCCGUCAUCUUUAUCUUUCCACCUGUGCACACUUUGUAGACUUGAAUAGUAUUUUCUGAGGUAACUCAGUCGGGAGGAUUGCUGGUGUCAUCAGCUCUCCUUGCAUUAUUCGAGUCUAUGUUUUUCAUAUACCCCAAAAAUGUAACAGAAUGUAUCAUUGGGCCUUGUGCCUAUAAACUAAAUACAACUUUCAGCAACGGAUCUCUUGGCUCU